rnacentral:rRNA from 1 species
UAGCGAUACAUUCAGUGGCGAACGGGUGAGUAACGCGUAGAUGAUCUACCUAUGAGAUGGGGAUAACUAUUAGAAAUAGUAGCUAAUACCGAAUAAGGUCAGUUGAUGUGUCGAUUGAUGAAAGGAAGCCUUUAAAGCUUCGCUUGUAGAUGAGUCUGCGUCUUAUUAGCUAGUUGGUGGGGUAAAGGCCUACCAAGGCUGUGAUAAGUAACCGGCCUGAGAGGGUGAACGGUCACACUGGAACUGAGAUACGGUCCAGACUCCUACGGGAGGCAGCAGCUAAGAAUCUUCCGCAAUGGGCGAAAGCCUGACGGAGCGACACUGCGUGAAUGAUGAAGGUCGAAAGAUUGUAAAAUUCUUUUAUAAAUGAGGAAUAAUCUUUGUAGGAAAUGACAAAGAGAUGACGUUAAUUUAGGAAUAAGCCCCGGCUAAUUACGUGCCAGCAGCCGCGGUAAUACGUAAGGGGCGAGCGUUGUUCGGGAUUAUUGGGCGUAAAGGGUGAGUAGGCGGAUAUGCAAGUCUAUGUGUAAAAUACCACAGCUCAACUGUGGGUCUAUGCUGGAAACUGUGUGUCUUGAGUCUGAUAGGGGAAGUUAGAAUUCCUGGUGUAAGGGUGGAAUCUGUUGAUAUCAGGAAGAAUACCAGAGGCGAAGGCGAACUUCUGGGUCAAGACUGACGCUGAGUCACGAAAGCGUAGGGAGCAAACAGGAUUAGAUACCCUGGUAGUCUACGCUGUAAACGAUGCACACUUGGUGUUAACUGAAAGGUUGGUACCGAAGCUAACGUGUUAAGUGUGCCGCCUGGGGAGUAUGCUCGCAAGAGUGAAACUCAAAGGAAUUGACGGGGGCCCGCACAAGCGGUGGAGCAUGUGGUUUAAUUCGAUGAUACGCGAGGAACCUUACCAGGGCUUGACAUAUAUAGGAUAUGGUUAGAGAUAACUAGUCCCCGUUUGGGGUCUAUAUACAGGUGCUGCAUGGUUGUCGUCAGCUCGUGCUGUGAGGUGUUGGGUUAAGUCCCGCAACGAGCGCAACCCUUAUUGUCUGUUACCAGCAUGUAAAGAUGGGGACUCAGACGAGACUGCCGGUGAUAAGCCGGAGGAAGGUGAGGAUGACGUCAAAUCAUCAUGGCCCUUAUGUCCUGGGCUACACACGUGCUACAAUGGCCUGU